AGCUGAGUAGCUCUGAGAAGCCAACAACAGCUACCAAAAAAAAAAAAAAAAACCUGGCGGGCUACGACGUUGACAGAUUCGCCAAAAACCCUCUUGCAUUCCCCUCCGAGAGUUCAAAAGGCUCAGUCCCCUUUGCAGGCGAGAUAAUUUGUUUUAAUAGGUAUUUACUAAACGAGAUCUUAAUCUCGAAGCCUAUCAGCAGAUUCGAUAGCAAAACUGGGCAAGGAUUUUGGAGGAAAAGGAAAGUGAGAUUCAAUCAGCUCUCAGACAUAUGUAACGUUCAACAGAAUGUUGGAUUCUGUCCAUCGGCUAAUUAGAGGGAUAAUUCUACACAAGCAGAUCAAAACUGGACUAAAUAUGAGUAUCAUCUAUGAUUCUCCAACUUUAUGACUGUACCUUCUUGAGCUGGAGGGUCUCUUGUCCAGUUUGCAUGUAGCUUGCAAGAACUUCAUAUCUUUCCAAAGGAUGCUGGGUCAGAAAUUCCAUUUCUUACCUCUACAGAGCCUAAAAUGCAUAAGCAACCUGUUUAAUUACCCUCAUUCUGAUCUGUGCCCAUUUUUCCUUAUUUUAUAUAAAAUGAAACUUCAGUUUAAAAACUAGUUGGGGAAGGGGGUAUCUGUUCC